rnacentral:rRNA from 1 species
AGAGUUUGAUCCUGGCUCAGGACGAACGCUGGCGGCGUGCUUAACACAUGCAAGUCGAACGGUGAAGUCCCUUCGGGGGCGGAUCAGUGGCGAACGGGUGAGUAACACGUGGGCAAUCUGCCCCUCACUGUGGGAUAACUCCGGGAAACCGGGGCUAAUACCGCAUAUGAAGCCUGGCGGCAUCGCCGGGUUUGGAAAGUUUUUCGGUGAGGGAUGAGCCCGCGGCCUAUCAGCUUGUUGGUGAGGUAAUGGCUCACCAAGGCGACGACGGGUAGCCGGCCUGAGAGGGCGACCGGCCACACUGGGACUGAGACACGGCCCAGACUCCUACGGGAGGCAGCAGUGGGGAAUAUUGGGCAAUGGGCGAAAGCCUGACCCAGCGACGCCGC